AUGUCGAGCGCAGGCGAAGCUUCUCGUCGGAUCCAACAUGCACAGCUGUCCAUCUCUCCACCCCUAUCUUCUCAUCCUCAUUCCCAAUUCCUUCCUCUCUUCUCUCUGUCCACUCCAAUCUUCCACUUAAUGGUCGCCGCUGCUUCAAGGCCUCCCCGCAGAGCUCUCGAUCUAGAUCUCAGAUCGAGGCCACCACCAAGCCCCUCGACCACCUCCUCCUUCCUUCACCGGCUCAGCUCCCUCUGGCGCGCGCCGCUCCACCUGAGCUCCAGUGCCUCCCCGCAACACAUCCUUCUCCCUCCUUUCCCCUUCUUCCUCUCUUCCUUCCCCUGCCUCUCAGUUUUUUUUCCUUUUUCCCUUGGCCAUGAGCAGGAAGCACACAACGAGCCUCGCUACUGCUGCCACCACGACCGUCAUCGCGCCGCCACCGUCAUCUCCAAGUUCUCCAGCCGGUGGCAAACAUCUCCCCUGCGACUGGUGCCACCACCCUCUGCCUCACCUCCAUCAUGCUUGAGGACAAUGACGGCAUGGCUGCCGUCGACCCGUCCCGGGCCCCUCGUCUCGCUCGUGUGGGGCGCACCUGCGCAUGGACCAUCGGUCGAGCAAGCCGCCCUCGCCAGCGGGAGCGCCGGUGCCGCUCGCCGAAAGCAUCUGAUGGGGGCCUAG
rnacentral:rRNA from 1 species